rnacentral:rRNA from 1 species
UGGGGAAUUUUGGACAAUGGGCGCAAGCCUGAUCCAGCCAUUCCGCGUGAGUGAAGAAGGCCUUCGGGUUGUAAAGCUCUUUCGCAAGGGAAGAAAACUUAGGCUCUAACAUAGCCUGAGGUUGACGGUACCUUGAUAAGAAGCACCGGCUAACUACGUGCCAGCAGCCGCGGUAAUACGUAGGGUGCGAGCGUUAAUCGGAAUUACUGGGCGUAAAGCGUGCGCAGGCGGUUUUGUAAGUCAGAUGUGAAAUCCCGGAGCUCAACUUGGGAGCUGCGUUUGAAACUACGAGACUAGAAUAUGUCAGAGGGGGGUAGAAUUCCACGUGUAGCAGUGAAAUGCGUAGAGAUGUGGAGGAAUACCAAUGGCGAAGGCAGCCCCCUGGGAUAAUAUUGACGCUCAUGCACGAAAGCGUGGGGAGCAAACAG